AUUGAACGCUAGCGGCAGGCCUAACACAUGCAAGUCGAACGAGUGGCGGACGGGUGAGUAAUGUCUGGGAAACUGCCUGAUGGAGGGGGAUAACUACUGGAAACGGUAGCUAAUACCGCAUACUAUCGGAUGUGCCCAGAUGGGAUUAGCUAGUAGGGGGGGUAAAGGCUCACCUAGGCGACGAUCCCUAGCUGGUCUGAGAGGAUGACCAGCCACACUGGAACUGAGACACGGUCCAGACUCCUACGGGAGGCAGCAGUGGGGAAUAUUGGACAAUGGGCGCAAGCCUGAUGCAGCCAUGCCGCGUGUAUGAAGAAGGCCUUCGGGUUGUAAAGUACUUUCGGCGGGGAAGCGUUAUCCGCAGAAGAAGCACCGGCUAACUCCGUGCCAGCAGCCGCGGUAAUAC
rnacentral:rRNA from 1 species